UACGAAGGGUGCAAGCGUUACUCGGAAUUACUGGGCGUAAAGCGUGCGUAGGUGGUUUGUUAAGUCUGUUGUGAAAGCCCCGGGCUCAACCUGGGAAUGGCAAUGGAUACUGGCAGGCUAGAGUGCGGUAGAGGGUAGUGGAAUUCCCGGUGUAGCGGUGAAAUGCGUAGAGAUCGGGAGGAACACCAGUGGCGAAGGCGGCUACCUGGACCAGCACUGACACUGAGGCACGAA
rnacentral:rRNA from 1 species